rnacentral:rRNA from 1 species
AAACAUAGCCUUUAGCAAACCAAGUAUUAAAGGUAGUGCCUGCCCAGUGAAAUUUAAACGGCCGCGGUAUCCUAACCGUGCAAAGGUAGCGUAAUCACUUGUCUUAUAAAUAAAAGACCUGUAUGAACGGCUAAAUGAAUAUUUUAACUGUCUCCUUUGACCAAUCAGUGAAACUGAUCUUUCAGUACAAAAAGCUGAAAUAAAAUCAUAAGACGAGAAGACCCUGUGGAGCUUUAAAUUUUACCAAAGCACUAUUACAGGGCGUGCUCAUGCUAAAAAUUUUUAGUUGGGGGCAACUUUGGAGUAAAACGAAACCUCCAAGAAUAAGGCACUGCCUAAAUAAAGGCCCACAAGCCAAAACAGACAAGACCCAGUACUACUGAGCAACGAACCAAGUUACCCCAGGGAUAACAGCGCCAUCUUCUUCAAGAGUUCAUAUCGACAAGAAGGCUUACGACCUCGAUGUUGGAUCAGGACACCCAAAUGGUGUAGCCGCUAUUAAAGGUUCGUUUGUUCAACGAUUAACAGUCCUACGUGAU